rnacentral:rRNA from 1 species
AGAGUUUGAUCCUGGCUCAGGAUGAACGCUGGCGGCAUGCCUAAUACAUGCAAGUCGAACGAAGUCUUUAGGAAGCUUGCUUCCAAAGAGACUUAGUGGCGAACGGGUGAGUAACACGUAGGUAACCUGCCCAUGUGCCCGGGAUAACUGCUGGAAACGGUAGCUAAAACCGGAUAGGUAUGAGGGAGGCAUCUUCCUCAUAUUAAAGCACCUUCGGGUGUGAACAUGGAUGGACCUGCGGCGCAUUAGCUGGUUGGUGAGGUAACGGCCCACCAAGGCGAUGAUGCGUAGCCGACCUGAGAGGGUGAACGGCCACAUUGGGACUGAGACACGGCCCAAACUCCUACGGGAGGCAGCAGUAGGGAAUUUUCGUCAAUGGGGGGAACCCUGAACGAGCAAUGCCGCGUGUGUAAAGAAGGUCUUCGGAUCGUAAAGCACUGUUGUAAGUGAAGAAUGCCACAUAAAGGAAAUGCUAUGUGGGUGACGGUAGCUUACCAGAAAGCCACGGCUAACUACGUGCCAGCAGCCGCGGUAAUACGUAGGUGGCAAGCGUUAUCCGGAAUCAUUGGGCGUAAAGGGUGCGUAGGUGGCACGAUAAGUCUGAAGUAAAAGGCAACAGCUCAACUGUUGUAUGCUUUGGAAACUGUCGAGCUAGAGUGCAGAAGAGGGCGAUGGAAUUCCAUGUGUAGCGGUAAAAUGCGUAGAUAUAUGGAGGAACACCAGUGGCGGAGGCGGUCGCCUGGUCUGUAACUGACACUGAUGCACGAAAGCGUGGGGAGCAAAUAGGAUUAGAUACCCUAGUAGUCCACGCCGUAAACGA